rnacentral:rRNA from 1 species
AGGGCACCACCAGGAGUGGAGCCUGCGGCUUAAUUUGACUCAACGCGGGAAAACUCACCCGGCCCGGACACCGUAAGGAUUGACAGAUUGAGAGCUCUUUCUUGAUUCGGUGGGUGGUGGUGCAUGGCCGUUCUUAGUUGGUGGAGCGAUUUGUCUGGUUAAUUCCGAUAACGAACGAGACUCUAGCCUACUAAAUAGUGGCUGAGUUUUUAGUUCAGCGUACUUCUUAGAGGGACAAGGGGUAUCUAGCCCCACGAGAUUGAGCAAUAACAGGUCUGUGAUGCCCUUAGAUGUCCGGGGCUGCACGCGCGCUACACUGAAGGAGUCAACAUGCAUUGAAACCUAGUCUGGAAAGACCGGGUAACCCAAUGAAACUCCUUCGUGAUUGGGAUAGGGAAUUGUAAUUAUUUCCCUUGAACGAGGAAUUCCUAGUAAAUGCGGGUCAUCAUCUCGCGUUGAUUACGUCCCUGCCCUUUGUACACACCGCCCGUCGCUACUACCGAUUGGAUGUUUCGGUGA